AUCCCCCCACCUCAGCCUCCCAAAGUGCUGGGAUUACAGGCGUGAGCCACCGUGCCCAGCCUUUUUUCUACCUUUUGAAAGUUUUUUAUAAUGUUGCAUUUAAUGUUUAGGUCUAUGGGCCAUUUUGAAUUUUUUUUUUUUUUGUAUAAGGUAUAAUAUGUAAAUAUCUUUACAUCUUAUUCUUUUUGGUGGGGAUACAUAUUGACAUGCAAAUUUUACAUCACCAUUUGCCUAAAAGACUUAUCUUUUCUCCAUUGAAUUACCUUUGCACCUUUGUAAAAAUGUAGUUGGCUGUAUUUGUGAAGGUCUUUUUUAAGAUUCUCCAUUGUAUUCCAUUGAUCAAUGGACUGUAUCCUUCCUCCAGUACUACCGUGUAUUGAUUGUUGUAGUAAGUCUUAAAGUCAGGUAAUAUGAAUCCUCUAAUUUUGUUAUUCUUUUCCAGAAUGGUUUGGCUAUUCUAAUUACUUGUCUUUUCAUAUAAAUUUUAGAAUAAGCUCUAUGUAUCUGUAAAAAGACCUGGCUAGCAUUUUGAUUGUGAUUGUGUUGAUCAAAUUGAAUUGAAUCUUAACAAUAUUGAGUCUUCCAGUAAAUGACAUGGUGUCUCUUUCCAUAUAUUUGACUCUCCUUUGGUUUCUUUUAUCAGUGUUUUCUAGUUUUGCACAUACAGAUCCUGCACAUAUUUUAUCAUGUUUAUACCUAAGCGGUCCUUUAGUAGGAGAGAUUGAUAAAUGAUAGAAAAGGUAUUAUAAAAGAGUAGCUA